rnacentral:lncRNA from 1 species
AUGGCCAUGUCCAAGAACCUCAGCACACACAACCAGUCCUGCAAAUGGCACAUGAAUGACAUCAAGAAACUGGGUCACAAAGGCAAGAAUCUCUUAAGGGGGUUGACCCACAAGAAUAGGUGUUGUGCCAAGAAGCAAAACAAGUAAGACCUGAGGAUUCAAGCCAAUAGUGCAAAGGCAAUGAGCGCAUGUGCAGAGGCCAUCAAGGCCCUUGUGAAGCCAAAGGUGGUUAAGCCCAAGAUGCUAAAAGGCCACAGCUGCAAACUCAGAUGUCUUGCAUUCAUCACUCACCAAAGCUUGAGGGAGCGUAUUUGAAGCUAUAUGGCCAAGGGUCAUGAGCUCUGCCAACCUAAGCCCAAGGUUCAAACCAAGGCAGAGGUCACAGCUCCAGCUAAGGUCCAGGCUUCAGCUCCAGCUCAGACUCCCAAAGGUACCCAGGUCCCUGUAAA